rnacentral:rRNA from 1 species
UAGGGAAUCUUCCGCAAUGGGCGAAAGCUUGACGGAGCAACGCCGCGUGAGUGAUGAAGGUCUUCGGAUCGUAAAACUCUGUUAUUAGGGAAGAACAAAUGUGUAAGUAACUAUGCACGUCUUGACGGUACCUAAUCAGAAAGCCACGGCUAACUACGUGCCAGCAGCCGCGGUAAUACGUAGGUGGCAAGCGUUAUCCGGAAUUAUUGGGCGUAAAGCGCGCGUAGGCGGUUUUUUAAGUCUGAUGUGAAAGCCCACGGCUCAACCGAGGAGGGUCAUUGGAAACUGGAAAACUUGAGUGCAGAAGAGGAAAGUGGAAUUCCAUGUGUAGCGGUGAAAUGCGCAGAGAUAUGGAGGAACACCAGUGGCGAAGGCGACUUUCUGGUCUGUAACUGACGCUGAUGUGCGAAAGCGUGGGGAUCAAACAGG